rnacentral:rRNA from 1 species
UACGGAGGGUGCGAGCGUUGCUCGGAAUUACUGGGCGUAAAGGGCGCGUAGGCGGAUGUUUAAGUCAGCGGUGAAAGCCCAGGGCUCAACCUUGGAACUGCCAUUGAUACUGGACAUCUUGAGUACGGGAGAGGUGAGUGGAACACCGAGUGUAGAGGUGAAAUUCGUAGAUAUUCGGUAGAACACCAGUGGCGAAGGCGACUCACUGGCCCGUUACUGACGCUGAGGCGCGAAAGCGUGGGGAGCAAACAGG